GCCUUUAAACAUUGAGUUUACUGAGUUUAAAGCUGGCAAAAAGUGUCACGGUUGGUAACAGGUGGAAUCUGUAAUGCAUACAGCAGUGAAAGGAAUUUUGCUUUGCAUUCUUGCGGCUUGUGGAAGAAGUCAGACAUCAAUUUGCUCACAGGAAGCACAAUAAUUACUGCAGUACGGUAAAGAUAAAUAAUUAGCAAUGUGAGCAAAGGUCAGAUUUUGUUUCAAAGUAGUUAUUACAGAUGAAGACUUCGGACCCUCUUCUGGACCUCUUCUUGCCGUAUAGGAUGAAGACUUCGGACCCUCUUCUGGACGGAUCGGUGAUACCCGGCGUGGUGAAGAUAAGACUCCUAACCAAGCCCCAAAGUUUUCGGACAAUACCGACAGAUACCUACUCCAGCUUGCUCCUGUUUGUGUAAAGGGUCUUUUCAUAUGCAAAAGAAGGAGAGUGAGGGGAGUGUCUUAUUUCCCACUUGCAGUGGGCUUUCCAGCUACUAUUUCAACAGAGCUAAACUGAGAACUUCUAAGGACGGUUCUAGGACAUCGAAUUAACAGCUGACUGCUAUCAGGGAAUCGCCUAGGGGAUUUUUAUCACCAGGAUUCAAGGGACGGUUCUAGGACAUCAAAUUAACCGCUGACUGCUAUCAGGGAAUCACCUAGGGGAUUUUUAUCACCAGGAUUCAAGAAGCAACAGAACACGAUGCAAUAAUCGGAGAGGUCACGUGAAGAGAACGGUAGCGGCACGGCUAGGGGCAGGACGUUGACUAAUUGGUUGAGUCGCAGUAAGGCCGCCCGUGCUCCUCAAUAAGGGGAAGAACACAGUGCAACCGAAGGGCAGCAGGUGACCUGGCGGUCUACGCUGGCUGGAGGAUAAAAAUCAGCAGCUGUUUUUUUUUUUGUUUGUAGUUAAAUAAUACAAUCACAACAAGCAGUGAAGUUUGGCUCUGGCACGUGGGCGGGG